rnacentral:pre_miRNA from 1 species
UUUCUACUCCCUCCGUCCGAAAAUACUUGUCAUCAAAAUGGAUAAAAAUAGAUGUAUCUAAAACUAAAAUACGUCUAGAUACAUUUCCUUUUAUCCAUUUUGAUGACAAGUAUUUUCGGACGGAGGGAGUAUUUG